rnacentral:rRNA from 1 species
AUUGAACGCUGGCGGCAGGCUUAACACAUGCAAGUCGAGCGGGGGAAGGUAGCUUGCUACCGGACCUAGCGGCGGACGGGUGAGUAAUGCUUAGGAAUCUGCCUAUUAGUGGGGGACAACAUCUCGAAAGGGAUGCUAAUACCGCAUACGUCCUACGGGAGAAAGCAGGGGAUCUUCGGACCUUGCGCUAAUAGAUGAGCCUAAGUCGGAUUAGCUAGUUGGUGGGGUAAAGGCCUACCAAGGCGACGAUCUGUAGCGGGUCUGAGAGGAUGAGCCGCCACACUGGGACAGAGACACGGCCCAGAGUCCUACGGGAGGCAGCAGUGGGGAAUAUUGGACAAUGGGGGGAACCCUGAUCCAGCCAUGCCGCGUGUGUGAAGAAGGCCUUAUGGUUGUAAAGCACUUUAAGCGAGGAGGAGGCUACUCUAGUUAAUACCUAGGGAUAGUGGACGUUACUCGCAGAAUAAGCACCGGCUAACUCUGUGCCAGCCGCCGCGGUAA